AAUGAACGCUGGCGGCAGGCCUAAAACAUGCAAGUCGAGCGCCCUAGCAAUAGGGAGCGGCGCACGGGUGAGUAACACGUGGGAAUAUGCCUUUUGGUACGGAACAACUUUUGGAAACGAAAGCUAAUACCGUAUGGUCCCUUCGGGGUAAAGAUUUAUCGCCAAAAGAUUAGCCCGCGUUGGAUUAGCUAGUUGGUAGGGUAAUGGCCUACCAAGGCGACGAUCCAUAGCUGGUCUGAGAGGACGAUCAGCCACACUGGGACUGAGACACGGCCCAGACUCCUACGGGAGGCAGCAGUUAGGAAUAUUGGACAAUGGGCGCAAGCCUGAUCCAGCCAUGCCGCGUGAGUGAUGAAGGCCUUCGGGUUGUAAAGCUCUUUAGCCGAUGAAUAUAAUGACUGUAGACGGAGAAUAAGCCCCGGCUAACUUCGUGCCAGCCGCCGCGGUAA
rnacentral:rRNA from 1 species